rnacentral:rRNA from 1 species
AGUGAACGCUGGCGGUAGGCCUAACACAUGCAAGUCGAACGGCAGCACAGUAAGAGCUUGCUCUUACGGGUGGCGAGUGGUGGGCGGGUGAGGAAUACAUCGGAAUCUACUUUUUCGUGGGGGAUAACGUAGGGAAACUUACGCUAAUACCGCAUACGACCUACGGGUGAAAGCAGGGGAUCUUCGGACCUUGCGCGAUUGAAUGAGCCGAUGUCGGAUUAGCUAGUUGGCGGGGUAAAGGCCCACCAAGGCGACGAUCCGUAGCUGGUCUGAGAGGAUGAUCAGCCACACUGGAACUGAGACACGGUCCAGACUCCUACGGGAGGCAGCAGUGGGGAAUAUUGGACAAUGGGCGCAAGCCUGAUCCAGCCAUACCGCGUGGGUGAAGAAGGCCUUCGGGUUGUAAAGCCCUUUUGUUGGGAAAGAAAAGCAGCAGGUUAAUACCCCGCUGUUCUGACGGUACCCAAAGAAUAAGCACCGGCUAACUUCGUG